AAUAAAAUAAAAGGGGACUGGAAAAAAAAAUCAGAGAAAAGAAUCAUCACUUACCUAGCUUCACCGCUUAAUUGGGAUGUCAUCCACCGCCGCCCACACCUUCCUCUCUCUUUCUCCACUGUUCUUUCCCCGUCCUAUUUUGUCUGAUCAGAUACAUGAGCUGAACAUGUAUUCAGCGAAAUUUUCAUCUUUCCUUUAAUAUCUAAAGAGCCCCAAAGCCUCAAAUUUGACUACGAAGUAAUUGAGUUGAGGAACUCCUAUUUUAUUUGCGACUCUCGACCACGUGAUGUUUAUGUGGAUAUUGGACAGACUGUGAUCCAAACGUUAGACAAAAUGGUUCAAGUUAUAGCUCUCCCUUAUAGCUCAAGUUGACGACGGGGAUGCAGUUGAUAUUGGAGUGGACAUGCCAUUGAUAUUAUAGCAGCAUCAUUCCAUCUCUAAGACGUUAUCAGGCGGUGACUAUCGUUCCCAGAGAAGUGAAAGAAGCAAAGGAACUGAAGACAGAUGAUCAGAAUUGAGAAUACUGAGAAGUGCCCUGAGUAGGUAGCAAGCUGCCGAUUUGAUGAAAGUUCUGUCCAUGAAGUCGAAAGAUAUAAGGUCCACGUCCGUUGUUAACUGAUGCAUCAAUUCUCCACCCAUAGAAGUAAAUGCAAACAUGGAAUUACAUGCCCUAACACUACAAGAAAAGUUGGCAUUGAUAGCUGAAUAAGAUAGCUCGAAUUUUGCAAGUGCUAUGAAAGAUAAUAUUCAGAAAUUUGCAACUGUAUUAUAGCAUUUUAGAAACGCUAAGUCGUAUAAUAGCAGAACGAAAAGCUAAAGAAUCCCUUAUGGCGGCGAAAACUUAGCAAAAUUUUCAUGUACCGCUCAACACUUAGCCGAAAUUUUAUUAAAAAUCACUUACCACCAAACAAUUUUUUUUUUGUUCAUAGCAAAACCUUUUAUAUCUUUUUUUUCCUUUUCUUAUACUCAUCUCUUUGCUUUUCUCGCUCUCUUCCUCUUCAGAUUCUUCAUCCCAUGAAACAAGUUUUUACUCUCUAAUUAUGUGCCGCUUGAUUAAUCAGAUAUCUUCUUCUUCAAGAUCUGAUUUCUUCGACAAUUCUCAUGUUGUCUAAAAGUCCCUCUUAUAGUGAUAAAACGCUAGAUCUAUGAUGUGUCACAAAGCAGGAUUUCGUCGAACUAAUUUUGAAGACACAUGCGAGUUGAGAGGGUUGGGAUGAAGGAUUUGGGCUCUUCGAUGAAGCUAUUCUUGGUUGUGAGGCUGAAGCGUGUUGGGUUCACAAAGUGUUGUUCAGAAACUGGAGAUUUGGAAAAGAACUAAAGACACAAGUGUUGUUCUAUUCGUAUGUCUCAUGGAGACUAUAAUUAUUAAUCAGCUCUACCUUAAGAAACGGAGACGAGUGGCCGUAUAAAGCAAGCCAAAGGCGGAUGAGCUCCGGAAGAGUUUAGUAUUACCUAGUCCUUGCUUUGACAAUUAUAAUUUGCGGAUCACUAGUUCCAAAAUCAAGAUGUGAGUUUUCUUACUUGAUGCAGGAGGAGACAUUGAGGCAGGCAGUUAACAUGUUUAGAUUUUGGAGCUUUUAAGUUGUCAAAAGAUGGUUUUCUAAUGCUCCAGUUUACUCCUUCAGCUAGUGUACAACAAUAGGAUUUGAGCAAGAAACAGGAGAUGAACUGGAUCAUGCAAGGGUAACUAAAGCCACAAGCAAGAACUUGACAUUCAUCAAUGUUUAUCUACUGAAUAACGUAUAGGGGAAAGCACAGAGGAUAUGGAGAAGGCAGUGGGAAUUGCUUGGAAUGGGACCCUAUGUUCUUGGAGGGCGAGAAAGAGCAAACCAAUGCAUCAGCUCCGUCGUUAGUCCAUCUCAAUUGCAGUACUUAUGAUGUUUUGUGCGACUAUGUUUAAACAUAUGGUUUUGAAUGAUGAACUACUUUGUAAAAUUACAGUUAUGUAUCUUUUAAUGAUCUAUAGAAGGACACAUGCUUUUAACAAA